UGCACGGGACAAGGAGUUCUUUUUUGUUGUUGUUAUUCUUUGCGUCAUUUCCAGAGAGACAGGAAGGAAAACAUAGUAAACAUUCUUCAAUUCUGCACAAAAGCCGAGAAGGGAUUUUCUUCAGGAACCUCCUUGUGGCUCUGCCAUGGCGGGGAGGGUUGGGGGUAAGAAAUAUAAGACCCAAUUCCCUGUGGAGGCGGGGAUUCGGUGAAACCAAUCCCUUGAAUGUGGGGUGGAACCAACAUGUAACUCAAUUUGCUUUGGCUCUCACUGUGCAUUUGAGCUAAAGCAAGGGAAGCAUUUCCCCUUCCCCUGGCUGAAAGCUCAGCUGACCCCGAGGCUCUUCUGGUCAUGCUUAGAGUGGGCCCUACAUCCAAUGACUGGUGUUCUCAUAAGGAGAGAGAGACAAAGAGUAGACAGACACAAGGGAGAAGGCCGUGUGAAGAUGGAGACAGAGAUUGGAAUGAUACAGCCACAAGCCAAGAAACAUCUGCGGCCGUCAGAAGUUGGAAGAGGCAAGGAAUGAUUUAUUCUUUCCCACUCAUUGUUUCACCAAUGAGCACCUUCCAUGUGCCACCGUUCUGACCCUGCUGACAAUGUGGUUUCAGACUUCUGGCCCCCAGAACUGUGAAAGAGUAAAUUUCUGUUAAGUUAUCUUGCUUGUGGUACUUUGUUACAGCAGCCCUGUGGAUCUAAUAUAGUCAUAAGAGACAUUGUGACCUCCUCCCUGCUCUCUUGAACCACUCAUUCUGGGAGAAGUCAGCUGCCAUGUCAUGAAGCUACUCAGGGAGGUCCAUGGAGAGGUCCACAUGGCAAGGAACUGAGGCCUCCUGCCAGUAGCCAGCACCAUCUUGCUGGCCAUGUGAGCGUGCCAUCUUAGAUGCAGAUCAUACGGCCCCAGUCAAGCCUUCAAAUGACUGCAUCCCUACUUGACAUUUUGACUGUAACCUCAUGACAAACCCUAAGCCAGAACACCAGCUAAGCCACUCCCCAAUUCCUCAUCAAGAGAAACUGAGAUAAUAAAUGUUUAUUAUUGUUUUAAGCUACUAAAUUUUGAGGUAAUCUGUUAUGUAGCAAUAGAUAACUAAUACUGAUAUCUGUCAUAUUGGGGCCUCAGUGUAACUUGGAACAGAAAGAGUUCCAUAUUAUAAUUCUUAAACAUUACUUGGAAUGGUUAGGGGCCCCAGUGCUAUUCUCUCUGGGGAUAUUUCCAGCAAUGGGCCCCACAGCCAUUUAUAGUGAGUUGUCCCACUUACUCUUUCACCAGUGAGCACUUUCCAUGUGUCAGAUGCCAUAUUAGAGACUGGGGCUAUAGAAAUGAACAGUCUUUUGGGAGGCCGAGGCAGGUGGAUCACCUGAGGUCAAGAAUUUGAGACCAGUCUGACCAACAUGGAGAAACCCCGUCUCUACUAAAAAAAAAAAAAAUACAAAAUUAGCUGGGUGUGGUGGUGCAUGCCUGUAAUCCCAGCUACUUGGGAGGCUGAGGCAGGAGAAUCACUUGAACCUGAGAGGCGGAGGUUGUGGUAAGCCAAGAUUACACCAUUGCACUCCAGCCUGGGCAACAAGAGUGAAAUUCCAUCUCAAAAAAAGAAAAAAAAGAAAUGAACAGCCCUGUUCUUAAUCACUUAACCAGUGGUCAUUAUGGUCUCUGCUAGUAGAGCACUAUGGGCAAGAAGGACAGCACUGCUUUGCAGGGAAGGGAAAAGAGAGACAUCACUGAGGCACUGAAGAGGAGAAGCAUUCAGUGGUAUGACCUUGAAGAGACAAGAAGAGGACCAAGUUCAAGAGUCUGCAAGAACAGUGGGAGGUAGAGCUGGAACUAGAAUCCAGACACCCCACUUCUAGUCUUGAAUUUGCGCUUCCUGAACUACACAGAGGCUGGCUCAUGGUACCAGGGUCUCUAAAGAUACCUGGAGGCAUGAACUUGAAUCCUGCUGGGAUACUACUCUUUGAAUAAUAAUUUCUCUAUGGAAAGGCAGGGUACAAAGUCUUGGAAUCUUGUUUCUGCUCUGCCAUCUUAGCUAAAUAACUCCCUUUGGAGAUCCUUUGAACCCUGAUAGAUCAGCAAGCCCCCUCUGAAACAUCAUAAGCCUCAGGGCAAGAAGGCUGGCCUUCUCCUCCAUCUGAAUCCCAGCCCUUCUUUUUUUGAGAUGGAGUUUUGCUCUUGUUGCCCAGGCUGGAGUGCAAUGGCGCGAUCUCGGCUCACCACAACCUCUGCCUCCUGGGUUCUAGCGAUUCUCCUGCCUCAGCCUCCUGAGUAGCUGGGAUUACAGGCAUGCAAAACCAUGCCCUGCUAAUUUUGUAUUUUAAGUAGAGACAGGGUUUCUCCAUGUUGGAAAGGCUGGUCUUGAACUCUCGACUUCAGGUGAUCCGCCCGCCUCUAGCCCUUCUUAGUAGUGGUGUUUUCUAAACAGGUUAGAUAAGAAUUUGACACCUGCUGAAAUCUCCAGGCUGGCUCCUCCCAAGGUCAAAUUGCACAUCUUGCCAACGAGAACAGCCUUCACUUCUUGAGCAUCUACUCAGCAGCAAGUGAUUUCUCUAAUCUUCACAACACCCUCUCAAGGCAAGGGAUCAUGGGCCACACUUGGCAAUCUAGGAAAGUGAAGUUCAAGAACAAGCCCCAGGACACACAGCUAGUGACAGCGAGGCACAGAGCUGGGAUUCCAACCCAGGCCUGUCUAACCCUAAAGCUCCUCCUAUCCACCUCCUCCUUGCUGCCACAGAAGGUGACUCAGAGGUACUCAGUCUGGAGAAUUCAAGCCAGUAUCCCAGGAAGUGGAAUUUUCUCCAGUGUUCUAGGAAGGAGGGAUUACCAUGGCAUGGGGUGGGCCAGGUAGACACAAGAGGCAGUGAAGGUGCAUAAAGUGGUGAUUAAAGGGAAUGGAGUCUACUGUGGUUUGGAUAUGGUUGCGUCAACCUAAACUCAUGUUGAAAUUUGACCCUCGGUGUGGUGGUGGUGGGAGGUGGGGCCUAGUGGGAGGUGUCUGGGUCAUGGGGGCAGAUCUCUCAUGAAGGGCUUAGUGCCAUCCUCACAGUGGAGAGUGAGUUUUCACCCUGGCAAGACUGGAUUCUUGUAGGAAUGGAUUUGUUCCCAAGACAGUGGGUUGUUAUAAAGCCAGGAUGCCCCUUGGGUUUUCCCUUCUUUGCAAGUGUUCACUCUCCCUUUGACCUUCUGUAUGUCGCAGCCCUCACCAGAGGCUGAGCAGAUGCUGAGGCCAUGCUUCUUGAUUCUCCCAGCCAACAGAUCUGUAAGCUGAAUAAACCUCUCUUCUUUAUAAAUUACCCCGUCUCAGGUAUCCUGUUAUGGCAACACGAAAUGGACUAAGACAGGCGGGUGACAGAUUGUCCAGGUUUGAAACAUAGCUUUUCCUUGUGCACCGCAUCUCAGGUUCUUCAUCUGAAAAUUGGGGAUAAGAACAUGUACCUCCUUGGGUUUGGGGGAAGAUUAAAUGAGAUAAUGCAUGUGAAAUUCAUGGCAAGAGUAAACUGCCCAUUACAUCUUUCUGCUUUUAACAUUGCUAUUGACAUUACUUUCCCUCCAUGGUCACUAGACUCUUGUAUCAGGCCAGUAUUUGAAGACAGACAAAUUUAAACGAAAUAGAUGUAACUUGGAGGAUGAUGGCAGAGAAAUCUGUGGCUUGACGGUUUUUUUUUUUUUUUUUUUUUUGAGACAGAGUCUUGCACUGUUGCCCAGGCUGGAGUGCAGUAGCAUGAUCUCAGCUCACUGCAACCUCCGCCUCCCGGGUUCAAGCGAUUCUCCUUCCUCAACCUCCCUAGUAGCUGGGAUUACAGGUGCCCGCUACCAUGCCUGCUAAUUUUUUGUAUUUUUAUAGAGACAGGGUUUCACUAUGUUGGCCAGGCUGGUCUCGAACUCCUGACCUCGUGAUCCACCCGUUUCGGCCUCCCAAAGUGCUGGGAUUACAGGCGUGAGCCACCGCGCCUGGCCUUGAAGGUUGUUUUUCUAAUUUUUUUUCCCAGCUCUAAGACAGCUCCCUGUGUAAGAUGAUGAGUGUGAUUAAUUGCAAUCAGCUCCUCUCCAUGUAAUGAGGGAAGCUGGAUGUCAUCCUCUGGCUUCUGUCCAAGCUGAUGCAGUUACCUAUUGUGUCCACAGGAUGUCACUAUCAAUCACGCUUCGACUGAGUACAGCCAAACCAGGAUACUCAGGGACUUGGAAUCUGUUACCAGACUUUUAUUUAGUACAGACACAGCGCCAGGGGGCUGAGCAUUCUUCAGCAACACCCUUUGGACCCCUUUCUACACCAUCAUGCUGUAUGAACAGAAGGGUUGGGGACAUGAAGGAGCAGCUCAGCUAAGGUGACCCAGAUGGUUGGGCUCAGAGCUGGAAGAACACCGUGGUCUUCUGACUCCCAAUUCCUGCAUCUGUCCUGCUUGUAAGAGGCUUGCCAAGAACAGGAGCUUUUGUUUGUAGGUCUCUAGGGAUGGCCACCACAGGGAGUGUGAUUUGAAGAUGGGGUCGGCGUGACAUUACAGGCCCCCUUUAGGCUCUGCUGGGUUGCAGGCCAGCUCUCUGGGCUGCCUUUCUGAUGGCUGCUAUUUUAAAGGCAGAUAGGAUGAAGUUAGCAACAACUUAUAUCAUUAAACUAGCAAGGGCUCAGGAGGGGCAGCCCCCUUCUGGGAAUGUGCCUAGCUCCUGCUCCAGAAUGGAGGAGUUUCUGUGGCUCUAGGAGAGCUGGCCUUCUAUGGAGUCUGAGCAAUGUACCGCACGGGGAGGAGAAGACGCUUCCAGAAGAUACCAGUGUUUCUAUCCAGAGACGUUUCCAGGACACCACGUUAAGCAGCAGAGACACUAGAAGCCAAGGCACCUAUGGUCUGGUGUGGAUGUGUGCCUCCUGUGCCUCAGUGGCAUCAUCCGUACCAUGGGAGGUGUGUAAUGAGGGGUGAGAUCACGUCUGUGAGGGCACGUACAUAGUAGAUGCCCAGGAAGUGCCAGUCCCCAUCUCCUUCCCAGUUUCUUCAAAGCCUUCUGGAAGGCACUGGCAUAGCCCAGUCCUGAGGCACUGCUUUUUCUUUCAUGGAUGAUCAGGAGCUUCUGUGAUUUCUUCCCCCUCACUCUUCAUUUUGCCAAGAUGUUGCCCAUAGUAACCUCAGCAGUGGAGCGAGGAUUCUGCACUGUUCCACUGCCCUGGGGCUGCACACCCACGUGAGCGGGGCCGACCCGUCCCAGAGCGCUUUGCCCUCAGAAGGCAGCAUCACCUGCAGGAGCAAUGCCAUGGACAGCUCUGGCUUGUCCUCCAGGGCCCUGGCAUGGUCAGUGAGAAAAUGCCCCUGGGGCAUGGGCUUCUCCUGUCAGUCAAGUUCAGAAGGCUUCCUGGGGUAGGUAGAGACGCUCCCUACCCAGCUGAGUUAUUGAAAUGAUAGGAGGGAGAAGGGAAGGUCUGGGCAUGUGGCACUGUGAUUUUUUUUUCUUUCUUCUUUUUUUUUUUUUUUUUUUUUGGAGACUCGGGGUAGAAAUGAGGACAGGAAGAAGUACAAUCCGUCUGGGAUUGGUUUAUUUUUAUUGCUUUUUAAAAUCAUGUGACUAAUUGGUGUUCAUUGAAAAAGAGAAAACAAAAAUAAGCCAAGAGAAGACAGCAAAAAUAAUCUGUUAACAUCUUGGCAAAUAUCCUUUUUCUCUGCAUAGAAACGGAGAAUACUUUUGUUUCACUUAUAAAAUGUUUCUUAAUGUACACAGCUUUAUAACCUGCUUUUUGCUUAAUGGGACAAUAUACUAGGACAUGUUUUCAGGCCAACAGAUAAAUAUACUUCACUUGCAU
rnacentral:tRNA from 10 species